rnacentral:rRNA from 1 species
CAGUCGCCGCGGUAAUACGAAGGGGGCUAGCGUUGCUCGGAAUGACUGGGCGUAAAGGGCGCGUAGGCGGCGAUCAAAGUCAGGCGUGAAAUUCCUGGGCUCAACCUGGGGGCUGCGUUUGAUACUUGAUUGCUAGAGUGGGGAAGAGGGUCGUGGAAUUCCCAGUGUAGAGGUGAAAUUCGUAGAUAUUGGGAAGAACACCGGUGGCGAAGGCGGCGACCUGGUCCUCGACUGACGCUGAGGCGCGAAAGCGUGGGGAGCAAACAGGAUUAGAGACCCCCGUAGUCCCUGUCUCUUAUAC